rnacentral:lncRNA from 1 species
GCUUUUUAAGGAUGUCACCACCUGGGCGGUGGAUUUGUCGGUGAAGGACGCACAUGACAGCGACACGCAGAAUCACCUCGGAGCUGACGCCCCCUAUUCAGAAUUAUUUGGCACACACUUUUCGAUCUGACUACUAUCUUUAAAGUAUCAUCGCAUGGCAUUUUAUAGUUGGUGCAGCCUAUCUUUUUAUAAGCUGCCCUCGUGUCAGAAGGGAGGAUCUAGCACAAAAGUGCCUGCCCACUUGACGCAAACAUUCAGACAAGUGAUCCGAUGUCCCUCGAAGCUGAGGCUCCUUCUCAAAAGCACAUAUUGCGGAUACAAUAUGUGAAAUCAAGAGCAUUUUGGCACGCUUCGUAGGAGGCUGAGUACGGCGCGGGUUGCAUGUGGUCUACUGUGAACAUGUUACGACUAGGUGCUUGAAUGUUGCAGUCCCCCAAAGGAGCAUAGGCACAUUCACCUUUGAUGUGGCAUCUUCCAUGGAAAGCUUCAAAACGAUUGGAAAUAACAGGAGAGACAAUCCAGACUCGCCGAGCGGUCUGACAGGUGCGGAACCUGCUUCCCGAAUCUCAUGUGGAUCCGACGAACCGGAAGAAGUACGGCCUUAGGUACGGUACCAGGGACCUUGAUGUGGCCUAUGUAACAGGACUGUAGAGAAAGGGAACUUCUUUUGAUUGCCGGGAGCCAUUACGGUUGUGGAACGCGGAGUGGACCGCACGUUUGGGCUGCGGCCAAAUGGGACCAUUCCUGUGAUCAGCUGUUCCCCCCGAGCUGGCUGUCUCAAGGGAAUAUGUUUGGAAAGAGGGUAGCAGGGCACAUACACCCCAUACACUUUUCCUCUACCCUGCAGAAAUUCGGAGGCGCAAGGUCACAGGGUCUGACACAAAAAGUGAACGUCACAACCUGUACGAGGGCGCAGAUGAAGACCAGUACGACUAUGCGAGAAAAGAGAGCGAGUUUCUAAAGUCGCAACCGCCUUUGUCGGAAAGCGGGCUUGCCCCUAGGAGACGGUGCUGUGGAGCAGUUCCCUCGAAGAGCGAUACAGUUUACGCUUGAUCCCUGUCUGGUUCCCACUUAUUUUGGCCCCCCUACAAAAUUAAACUUUCGGCAG